UACGGAGGGUGCAAGCGUUGUUCGGAAUUACUGGGCGUAAAGCGCGUGUAGGCGGUUGAGCAAGUCAGAUGUGAAAGCCUCUCGCUUAACGGGAGAAGUGCAUUUGAAACUACUCGGCUGGAGUUCGGGAGAGGAGAGUGGAAUUCCCGGUGUAGUGGUGAAAUUCGUAGAUAUCGGGAGGAACACCGGUGGCGAAGGCGGCUCUCUGGCCCGGUACUGACGCUGAGACGCGAAAGCGUGGGGAGCAAACAGG
rnacentral:misc_RNA from 1 species